UUCUGCUCAUAGGGGCAAUACCUUCUACCUUUCUUGUUAAUAGCAUUUUUUGGCCUUCUGUGUUUUCUCUGCAGGGUAUUCUCUGCUAUAGGUUAGGAAGUGAGCUCUACGAACUAUGUGGGAGCCGAGAAAUGCGGAGCGAGUGCUUCAGUCUUCUGACUAUCAGUGGGAACUAAAUUGCGAUCACCUAGUAUUAUUUGGCUAGAAUCCAAAGGAGUUUCAGGGACCAUUUCAUCCUCUACAUCCUCCACGCUUGGUCCGUGGAAAACCUUCCAAAAUGGACUAUACUCAUUUGCCUCAGCCUUCAGCCACGAAUUAAAGAGGUAAUCAUUGUCCAUGGAGAAGAAGUCUUCAUCGUAAGGCACUUCCUCGCAGAAUUUAACACCGCGUCCAAUUCUCCCACAUAAUGAGGAAGCCGUUCAACUAUGAAAUCAAUCCAAAUCUUCUUUCCUCAUGGCUAGAUACCAUUCCAGAUAGUAGAGGGGAUGAUAAUUCUAAAGUGGCUCUCGCCUUCCUAACUUUAUAGGAUGCGAAUCCUUUUGUUUCUAUUCUCACCUCUGAAUCUUCUCCAAUAUGCUGAGGUUCUACUAAUUGCUUCUUUGGAGAUCCAGUCGAAAGGAAGCCCAUGAACAUGCACCCAAAAAGAACAAGAGUCAAAGACAUAACAGUGGGGGGUGGGGUGUUGGGGGUGCUUUGUUCCCAUGUUUGAGCAAUAUGAGAUGAUUAGCAGACGACCAAGGGCCUGAGUUCAAUACCCGGUUCUUCACCACCUCAGGUUCUAACUGUGUGCACAUUACAUGUUCAGCUUUCCAUGCUUUUCUCAUGGUUCUUAGAAAAGCUUGGAAGUUCACACUGGGGCUUGUAUGUAUUCAAUCAAAUAAGGUAAGGUGGCUUUCUGUUUCUUUCGAAGCAGCCCCAUCCACAACAGCGAUUUUGUUCCCUAACCACGUUCUUCCUAAUCGCUCACACAGGGCAACCGUACGCAUCCCAGAAUCAUUCUCAUCAUCCAUAUUUACGUCAAAACGGGAAAACCAGCACAACAAGGGAAUUGACGCCCACUCACCUCAGUGCACUCGGAAUCUCGCAAGCACAGCAAAGAGACUUCUAAGCAGGAGGAGUCACACUUUCCACGGCAACACGAGUCAUUUUGCAAAACACAUCUAGCCUCUCAGUUGAGAAAUCCAACCCCAUAGCAGAAGAUAGGCGCAACGCACACCAUUUUUUUUCCAAUCCAUUCCAGUACGAUGCAGAUUCAAUACACAGUGGCCAUUUUGCCUGGCGGUCCAGAAACAACAAACCCAGUGCAGAAACAGGGCACCGCUCUAAGAAACUUCAAAACCCAGCCCAGAAAAAGGGGCGACACACCUCCAAACUUCAAUCCAUUCCAGCACAAUGCAGAUUCGAUACUAAAUGGGCACUUUGUGUAGCAGUCCGGAAGAGCUAACUCAGAAACAAGGCAAUGCACCAGGAGUCUUUAAUCCAUUCUAUUUUGAAGACACAUUACAAACCUACGCCAUGGAUGUAAGAUUGAAGAUACUAGGGUUUAAGGGAAGAUUAGGAUUUUGUUUUGCCGAAAUUUCUCCCGCCACGAAAUAUCACCGAAAGAAGUUCUCCGGCUUUUAAUUAACGGAAG